CCGUAUAUGAAGCAAUAGCUUCCUGGAUAGAAACGGCCUCUCUACCGAUUGUUUUGUUGGGAGCCAAAGGAGUGGGAAAGACAACCACGCUAAUCAUGUUACAUGAAUCAUGCAAAAGACCGAAACAUUAUUUUGACCUUUCAAGUGAUCACGACGUGGUGCGCUUGUCUGAAAAAUUGAAGACUAUAUCGCCAUUAUCGG